rnacentral:rRNA from 1 species
CCCAGACUCCUACGGGAGGCAGCAGUGGGGAAUAUUGCACAAUGGGGGGAACCCUGAUGCAGCGACGCCGCGUGGGUGAAGGAGUACUUCGGUACGUAAAGCCCUAUCAGCAGGAAAGAAAAUGACGGUACCUGACUAAGAAGCCCCGGCUAACUACGUGCCAGCAGCCGCGGUAAUACGUAGGGGGCAAGCGUUAUCCGGAUUUACUGGGUGUAAAGGGAGCGUAGACGGCAUGGCAAGUCAGAUGUGAAAGCCCGGGGCUCAACCCCGGGACUGCAUUUGAAACUGUCAGGCUGGAGUGCAGGAGAGGUAAGUGGAAUUCCUAGUGUAGCGGUGAAAUGCGUAGAUAUUAGGAGGAACACCAGUGGCGAAGGCGGCCUGCUGGACGAUGACUGACGCUGAGGCUCGAAAGCGUGGGGAGCAAACAGGAUUAGAUACCCGAGUU